AUAUACAACAUAACUAAUAUUCAUGUGUUGAAUCAGUCAGUGUAUAUCAGUGUAUUAAUUUCUGAUACAUGAAACCUUGCAGCUUCACAUGUUGGCAGCUUCCAGUGGAUAACAAUCACCAAACUAUUACUGAGAUGAUUGCAAUCCUGCAAGGGUUUGUGCCAAAUAAGGAGGAAUAGAGGUUAAAAAACAGAUGGUGAUGAGUACAACUUUUAUCUUCCUCGCUGCUUUUAGUUUUAAUUUAUCAUCGGCGCCCGUGCUGACACCAGAACCUAUAACAUGUCUGUUCAUAGCAAUAGGAUGCUCAGCUGCAGAUACAUUUUCUGAUCUUCCUAACUUAGUAUGAAAAGAAUGGACUUUAAUAACAGCAAAAACUACCUGCAGUGCAUCUAAUAACUGGCAUUUUUAUUACUUUGUAAGUAUAACAUUUAGCAGAAAAAAAGGAUAAUGGUAAGGAAAGAGCAAGAAAGAGAAGAAGAUGGCAGAGAGAGUAAAGUCUUAAGAAAACUUUAAAGAUGAUAUUUUCCAAGACAAACCAGAUAAAGCUAAAAGUUUACUUUCUUUUAUUGACAUACAUGCUGUAUUAUGUUUCUAUAUAAUGAUUAUUAUGUAUAGCAGACUACUGUGUAAGAAGUUUUGUUUCUAUUCACUGAGAUAUGCACAUUAAUGCUUUGUCAAUAUGUUUUUCCGUCCUUGUUUCUUUACACAAUGCUUCUAAAUUUGACUCAGAAAAAAAAAGAAAAUGUAAAGCUGAUGUCAGCUCUGCAUGGGAACACCCAUCUCCUUGGUCUCCGUGACAACCAGUUCACAUGGCAACACAGAGCUAAAAAUAUCUGGACAGCUCUAAAAAUAACUGGAGAAAGAGAAAAGAGAGAGGGAGCUCUGUCUUCACACACCUUUGUACGCCUCAAGAUGGUGCUACAGCGCUGAGGUAGGAUCAAAGAUAAUUACCUCAGGAUGUGAGUCCACUGAGACCCUCUCCUUACAGCACUUUCUUCUCUUAUUCAUUUUAAUGGAAAGGAUGCACUGCUGCAUGUUUUUUUAUGGUACCAGGCUUGUGGCUGACCCACAAAAGAUCUUGUACAGUGAGUCCUGUCCAUCUCCGUCAGAGUCCUUAAAGUAGUCAUGUGCAGGGAAGGUGCGGUGGAUGUCCCGGGUGAUGACACCUUCCUGAGCUGAGUCCUGC